rnacentral:rRNA from 1 species
GAUGAACGCUGGCGGCGUGCCUAAUACAUGCAAGUCGAGCGAACGGACGAGAAGCUUGCUUUUCUGAUGUUAGCGGCGGACGGGUGAGUAACACGUGGAUAACCUACCUAUAAGACUGGGAUAACUUCGGGAAACCGGAGCUAAUACCGGAUAAUAUUUUGAACCGCGUGGUUCAAAAGUGAAAGACGGUCUUGCUGUCACUUAUAGAUGGAUCCGCGCUGCAUUAGCUAGUUGGUAAGGUAACGGCUUACCAAGGCAACGAUGCAUAGCCGACCUGAGAGGGUGAUCGGCCACACUGGAACUGAGACACGGUCCAGACUCCUACGGGAGGCAGCAGUAGGGAAUCUUCCGCAAUGGGCGAAAGCCUGACGGAGCAACGCCGCGUGAGUGAUGAAGGUCUUCGGAUCGUAAAACUCUGUUAUUAGGGAAGAACAUAUGUGUAAGUAACUGUGCACAUCUUGACGGUACCUAAUCAGAAAGCCACGGCUAACUACGUGC